UGAUUCUUUUGGUUCAUGAACUUAGUUUAUGGACUUGGUUCAUGAUUCAUGAACUUGGUUUAUUUGAUUCAUGAACUUGGUUUAUGGUUCAUGGGGUUUGGUUUAUGGUUCAUAAACUUGAUGUAUAGUACUUGGUUUUGGUUUAUGGUUCAUGAACUUGGUGUAUGGCUCAUUGGGUUUGGUUUAUGGUUCAUGAACUUGGUGUAUGGUUUAUGGGGUUAUGGUUCAUGGUUCAUGAACUUGGUUCAUGAGGUUGGGUAUGUGGGAUUUGGUUAAUGAACUUAGAUAUGGUUCAUAGGAUUUGGUUCAUGAACUUGGGUAUGGUUCAUAGGGUUUGGUUGGGUUUGGAUUUUAUUUGUGGAUUGGAUUUGGUUUUGGGUUCGGAUUUGGGUUUUAUUUGUUGACUUGGUUUGGGUUUUGGGUUUGGAUUUGGAUUUGUGGACUUGAUUUGGGUUUGGUUUGAUUUUAUUUGUGGACUGGGUUUGAUUUUGGGUUCGGAUUUGGAUUUUAUUUGUGCACUUGGUUUGGGUUGGGUUUAGAUUUUAUUUGUGAACUUGGUUUGGGUUUUGGGUUCGGAUUUGGGUUUUAUUUGUGAACUUGGUUUGGGUUGGGUUUUGAUUUAUUUGUGGACUGGAUUGGAUUAUGGUUUCGGAUUUGGGUUUUAUUUGUGGACUUGGUUUUCUUUUCAAUUCUAUUUCGGGUCCGAGGAAAUUCUUUUUUGAUUUUGCAAUUUGAUUUGGCAUCCGAAGAAAUUCCCUUUUGAUUUUGCAAUUUGAUUUGGAGUCUGAAAAAAUCCUCUUUUGAUUUUGUAAUUUGAUUUGGGGUCCGAAGAAAUCCUCUUUUGAUUUUGUAAUUUGAUUUGGGGUCCGAAGAAAUCCCCUUUUG
rnacentral:lncRNA from 1 species